rnacentral:piRNA from 1 species
AUAUGUGCAACACAGCCUUUCUGG